rnacentral:rRNA from 1 species
CAGGCCUAACACAUGCAAGUCGGACGGUAGCACAGAGGAGCUUGCUCCUCGGGUGACGAGUGGCGGACGGGUGAGUAAUGUCUGGGGAUCUGCCCGAUAGAGGGGGAUAACCACUGGAAACGGUGGCUAAUACCGCAUAACGUCGCAAGACCAAAGAGGGGGACCUUCGGGCCUCUCACUAUCGGAUGAACCCAGAUGGGAUUAGCUAGUAGGCGGGGUAACGGCCCACCUAGGCGACGAUCCCUAGCUGGUCUGAGAGGAUGACCAGCCACACUGGAACUGAGACACGGUCCAGACUCCUACGGGAGGCAGCAGUGGGGAAUAUUGCACAAUGGGCGCAAGCCUGAUGCAGCCAUGCCGCGUGUAUGAAGAAGGCCUUCGGGUUGUAAAGUACUUUCAGCGGGGAGGAAGGCAUUGCGGUUAAUAACCGCAGUGAUUGACGUUACCCGCAGAAGAAGCACCGGCUAACUCCGUGCCAGCAGCCGCGGUAA